CAUAUCUCAGGCCCAGAGAAAUCAACGGCUGGUGAAGUCAGCUUGGGGGCUGGGGCAUGGUAAAAUAUACCCAAGUACAUAGCUUUUGCCAAGAGAGAUGUUCUUCUCUGGUUCCAGAGGUGUAAGUAGGCUGUGCAGCUGGCUGCUUCUCCCUGAGAAAACUGCGGCUGAAUGCUAGUACCAGCCCGCCGCAGCUGCUCGCAGAAAUGGUGCCUGAGGGCUCCCAGCGAUUCAGCCCUGGGAAGCUAAUGCAGUCCCUUUGACCAACUCCACCAGUUCCAUUCUCCACCACUUAGGUGCUGAUCUAGACGUGGUCUAGGUUGUCCUCAAUGAAGAGAUGAGAUGUGAGCAAAGAUGUGCAUGAAAAAAAAAAUGGGGCGAGCCAAGAAGAUAACUGGGGGAAGAACUUCCCAGGCAGAAGGAACAGCAGGUACAAAGGCCCUGAGGAUAAAGGAACGUGAUUGAGGCCAGAGGCCCAGGGGGCACAUAGCUGGAGUGAUUGAGCAGAGGGAAGGCACAGCUCUGAGGGUUCUAUGUGUGAGGCCAUUGUGAGGAGCCAGCUCAGAUCUGUGUGGCGGGGUUCCUGGGUAGAUGAGGGCUGUGCAGUGACUCAGACUGCUGGGAGCUCACACCAAGAAAUGGGUGGAAGGAGGAAGGAGGCAGUUGAGGGUGGGGCAGGGAUGCUGAGGAGUGGCUGCUCCAGGAUCAUUUUGCAGGGGACGCCUGAAGGAUCUGUGGCAACCUGGACAGGGUAGGGUGUGGAGGGGAAUAUGGGUCAAGUCCAUCUUCCCUGUGUGCAGGGUGGAAGCCAGGCUAGCCAGGUCCCAGUUGGGCUCCACUAGUGACCAUGGCUCUGUGUCAUGGCUGGACCCCCAACUUUCCAUCCUCUGUCUGCAAAUGAAUGGUGAACACCCCGCAGGGUUCCAGGCAAUGCAUAUCUGGCUCACACCUAGUGCACAGCAAACAUUCAUGAAACGGCAGCUACGACAAUAACAGUGACAGUGACUCUAUCUGGAGCAAGUCUUUUCUCAUCUCCACAUGUUUUUUUCCUUGUAAAAUGCAUACAGUGGGUUAACAAGUAUUUCUGGACCUCUUCCAUCCUUCUAGAACCUGGGAUAUGUCAGUGAGGUGGAAGAGUCCCAACCCCGUGGAGUCCCGGGGCUCCCCCGAGGAGACAGACAGCCAAAAGUAGGUGGGCUAACACAUAAAGUGACUGCAAGUUGUGCCGAGGGCCGUGAGGGACACCAGCGACGGCUGAAAGGGAAACAAAAGAGUCAGAGACACUCUGGUUAUGGUGGUCAGGGAAGACCUUCCCAAGGGGGAAUGUUUGAGCUGAGGCAUGAAGAAGGAGAAAGCAUCAGGCCGAAGGGACAGCAUCUUAGGUGGGAGAGGACUGGUUGUGUGUGAGGAGCUGAGAGGAGGGAGUUUUUAAGUGUUGAAUGAAGGCGUGUAAAAGAGUUUGCAGGCAAGGAAGGGCUAUCGGGACGUGGGUGAUGGUUGUUACACAGAUAUGGACCGUGAUUAUUAGAUUUGUGGGGGCCCUGGUUGUCGCAUAGAAGCUGGUGAUGGUUGUUGUACAGAUAUGGAUAGUGGUUGUUAGGCAGGUGUGGGCAAUGGCUGGCAUACAGGUACGGGUAAUGGUUGUUGCACAGACACGGAUGGUGGUUGUUAGACAGGUGUGGGGAUGGUUGGCAUACAGGUGUGAGCGAUGGUUGGAAUACAGGUAUAGGUGAUGGUUGUUGCACAGAUAUGGAUGGUGGUUGUUAGACAGGUCUGGGAAAUGGUUGGCAUACCGGUCUAGGUGAUGGUUGGUAUACAGGUGUGGGUGAUGGUUGUUAGACAGGUGUGGGCAGGUGUUGUUUCAUACAGGUGGGUAAUGGUUGAUAAUCAGGUGUCGGUGGUGCCUGGUAUACAGAAGUGGGCAUUGGUUGUUAUAGAAGUGGGCAAUGGUCACUACACAGAGGUGGGUGGCAGCUGUUACACACAAGUGGGUAAUGUGUGUGCCUGGUCCCCAAAGUGGUCCAAAACAAGAUGUCACACAUUCCCAUUAACAACAGACAAACAGCAUGGACAGAGACACAGUUGUGGAGGGAGAGCCCCUCCUGGCCCUGGGGCAUUGGGCCUCGCUGAGAUGGGGGCCAUCUAUGGCAGGGAGGCUGAUGGAGCUCAGGGACAAGGGACAGGCCCUGCUCUGCUCUGGGCCUUGGUUGGCUCUAAGUUACAUGGGAAGGUGGUGGCUUGGAGUGAUGCUGGCACAAGACAACACCUUCCCCUCUGCUGGGGAAGCCCUACAAGGUGUGGUGGGGAGCAUGGACUUCUGGGAAUUUGGACCCAUCCUGGUUUCAGAGAUGCAAGUUGUUUCUGGAAGCAAAGAUUCAGGGCUUAUCUUCCUGGGACAGGUAAGAUCUGGCAUCUCAUGUCUUUCCAAGGGCCUCCAAAUUAGGGCAAUGGAGGCACCUUCCAGUUGAUUCUGAGGAAGGGAAAAGUCGUGCCAUUCAUAGGAAUAGGCGCUGGGUAAAGAGCUUACUGGGCCACGUCUCACUUAAUCCUCACAACUGUCCUUUGAGGUGAGGACCAGCACUAUCCCCAUUUUACAUAUGAGGAAACAGAGACUUGGAGAGGUCUUUCUGGUAGUGAAGCCCAUGCUGUUAUUGGAACCCUCUUCCAUGGCUGGUGGGAGGGUCAACUGGUACAAAGCUUUUGGAAAAGGUUGAAGGACUUGGCAAUAUUAACUAAAGCUAAAUGCAUGCCUCCCAUGACUCCCGGGAAAAUAUUCCACACAGGGUUGUCAGUAUGUCCACCAAAAGGACGUUCAUAGCAGCACCAUUUAUAAUGUCCACAAACUAGGGACUCCUCACAUAUCCAUCACCAGGAGAAGGGAUAAAGAAACCAUAGUGUAUUUGCAGAAUGGAAUAUGACACAGCACUGAAGAUGCGUGAAUAAAAGUGACACACAACAACACGAAUGGCACUUACUGACGUAAUGUUGAGUGAAAGAAGCUGGACUCAGAAGAACAGUUACUGUCUAGCCCCAUUUAUACGAAGUUCAGGACCAGUCCAAACCAAUCUCUAGAGGGUGUUCAGAAUAACUGUCACCUGUGGGAGGGGGGCAGGGAUUGAACCUCUGUGGGGUUGGAAAUGUGUAUUUUCAUCUGGUUGCUGAUUACCUGGACAUAUUCACCUGUAAAAAUUCAUUAAGCUGUACACUUACUAUACUAUAUUUCAGUUCAUCCUCAAUAAAAAAGAAAGUAAUCUAUGCUCCUACCCUGAUGACACAAUUGGGCUGGAGUGUCACACAGGUCACAGGAAGUGAAUCCUUGGCAUAAAGUAAGUGCUGACUCUUCAGAGGCCCUUUGUCGCUUCUCCUGAUCUUUUCACAGCACACACCCAGUGGGGAGGGGACAACAUGCGGUGGUCAUGGGGUCACAGGGAUGGAGACACAGCUUCAAGGGAGGAGGGGGGACACUCAGGCAAGGGAUGCAAAUACUUGACGGUGCCUGGAAACUUCCAUGUCUUUCUGGAUGCUGAAAGCCCAUCAUAGGGGUGUAGAACCAGUCUGCUUUUAAUCGUGUCCCCUUCCUCUGUCCCUGGAUGAAGAUGUGGACAAAACAAAACAGUUGCUGUCAAUUCCAACUCAUGGUGACCCCUUGUGUGUCAGAGUAGAACUGUGCUCCAUGGUGUUUUCAAUGGCUGAUUUUUCAGAAAUAGGUUGCUAGACUUUUCUUCCAAGGCACCUCUUCGUGGACUCAAAUCUUCAAUCUUUUGAUUAGCAGACGAGCGCAAUAAUUGUGUGUACCACCUAGGGACUCUGAAGACAUGGGCAGCCUAUGACUUUUCUGGUCACUUUCUGAUAAUGAGGAGUCUUCCACAUACUUUGAGCUAGAAAAAGUCUCAUUUUCUUCAUUUUGACCAAGGCACCAUGGUUACGUAAAAUGCUGAUAUUAGGGCGAGCUGAAUGAAGGGGAUACUCAAACUCUCUAGUAGAUUUUCAAUUUUUCUGUAAAUCUAAAAUUAUUCCAAAAUUAAAAGUGCAUUAAAAAAGCAGAGGCAGUUCUUGUUCCAUGUACAUAAAGUACAACAUCAGGCAAGUCUGCGGUGAGGGGAGUUGGAGUAGUGGUUGAUGGGAGGUUGGGGCAGGGCACUUGCUGGGGCUGGUCCCAUUCUGUUUCUUGAUCUGGGGGCUGCUGUGUUCAGUUUAUGAAAGCUCUUGAAGCUGAAUGCUUAGGAUAUAUGUAAGUCAUCUUUUAGUAAAUUUUUAAUUAAAAAAAAAAAAACAGAAAUAGAGUUUUCUAGCUAUGAGGCUUCCAUAUUUAUCCAGCUAUGGGCAUUGGCUUGGAGCUGCCCACACCUCUCCUAAAAACAUCAGCCUUGGCGAGGAUUCUUGCUCUGGAUCCUGCAUCUGGCUCAUCAUCAUCUGACCUCUGGUUCUUGGGACUUGAACCAGCAGCCUGUGUAUAGCCUGCCGAUCUUGGGUUUGUCAGCCCCUGUAGCCACAUAAGUCAGGAGAAGCCUCCAGCCUGACACCUGACCCAUGGACUUGGGACUUGCCAGCUUCUACAACCUCAUGAGUCAUUUCCUUGAUGUAAAUCAAUUUCUCUCUCUCCCUCUCUAUAGACACUUCACUGGGGACUGGGAACCAUGGAGCAGGGGUCGGGAGGAAUUGAAAUAUUAAAUGGAGAGGUCAAGGAAGAGUCACCAAGAAGGUGACUUUUGAGCAGAAAGCUGCAGAGGGCAUGAGAAUGAAUUCAGAUGCUUGGAUGCAGAGCAUCUGGGCAGAGAGAUCAACAGAUGCAAAGGCCCUGAGGUAGGAGCUUGCCUGGCCAGUUUUAGGAACAACAAAGAAGCCAGUAUGGGUGGAGAAAAGUGAUGGAGGGAGAAUGGUGGGAGGGGGGUUUGAGCAGCGUUGGAGCCAGGUUAAGGAGGUAUGUAGAUCUUGGCGAGGACCUUGGCUUUGUCUGGAGUGGAGCAAGGUGAGAAUAUGGGCAGGGUUUGAGCAGGGGAAGGAGGGACUGUCUCAGUUUUCACAGGAUCCCUUCAGCUACAGUGCUGAGAGCAGACUACACCAGAAGGUGGCAAGUGGGGACAUGGAGAGGCAAGUUAGGUUUCAGGUGCAAUGGGGGGAAAGCUGAGGGUGGCUUAAGUCAGGCAGGAAGGUGGAGAAAGAGGUCAGAAGAUUCUGGGCAUAUUUUGAAGUUCACAGGAUUUGUUGCUGGAUUAGUUGGAGGGAGGUAGAGACAGAGAGAGAGAGAGUGGGCAGUGCAGGUGACUGCAGAGUUUAGGGCCUGAGCAGCCAGCAGGUGCCCGUCACUGAGAGGGACAGUGGGGGUAGGGAGCUUGUGGAGGAAGGGCUAGAAGCUCACAUUUGGCCAUGUUAAAUCUGAGAUGCCCAUGAGGAAUCCCAAGGAGAUACUGAGUAGACCACUGGGUACCCAAGUUUGCUGGCCAGAGAAGAGGUACAGGCUGCAGGUGUGAAUUUGGGUGCUGUUGUUAUUAUUAUUGUUUUAUUAUGGUAAAUAUAUAUGUAACAGAACAUUUGCGAUUUCCACAUUCUUCAUAUGUACAGUUCAGUGACAUUAACUUAUGUUCAUCGUGUUGUUUGACCAUCACCCUAAACUGUUCUCAAAUUUUUCCAUCACCCUUAAUAGAAGCUCAGUGUCCCCUAAGCAUUGAGUCCUCUUUCCCCCAGUGCUGUUGUUAUUAUUAUUUUUCCAUGCCUUAAACUCAGGCCAAGGGAAGCAGAGGGACAGAGAUGCCAGAGAUCCAGCUGUGGUUUCCAGAAACAUGCCCAGUUUUCUUUAGCUUUCCUGGGGUUUCCCAGCAGUUUCCUUCUGGGCUGGUCCCACCUCAGUACAGGUAUCUGUACUGAAACCCAGCAAAGGCCUCUCGUAUAAGAAGGCCCUUGAACAAUGGAUCAAGGGGAGGCCUUUGAAACACAAUACUGUACGGUUAUACAGAAAAAUCAAAUAGAGUGACUUAACCUACUAGCCCAGUGCGAGCUUGCCCAACCAGGAACUGAGUCUGGGUAUUUUCAUCUUGUGCUGUUCCUUGUAAGCCUGUUCUUUUUAUACCAACUCUAUGCAUGGUGAUGACUUGUCCUCUCAACCAGACUGUGGACUCUGAGGGCAGGUCCUUGUUUUCUUCUGAAGAUUUCAGGGGCAGUGACAGGGAGCUCACUACUUAACCAGGCUUAACCCUAUGAGGAUGGGCUCGAACAUGCUGAUGAUUGUGAGGAUGGCGUAGGAACAGGCAACAUUUCAUUCUGUUGUACAGAAGGAAACCAUGAGAUGGAGUCGACUCCACAGCACCUAACAGCAAUCGUACGGGGAAACCCUGGAAGUGGAGUACUAUUGUAAUGCCUUAGAAUUAUAUCCCCCGAGGGGCGAGGGACUUUUCUUUUAGUUGAGUUGAACUCUGCUGUGCCUGCGGAGUCUGUGCGGGAUGACCUGUAGGACAGCCUGCUGGGUCUGUGGGGGCUGCCACUGGGUCACUUGGACCUUCUCUUUUGUGUGGGAUGCACAGUCUGUUUCUUUGUGGGAGAGAGCUCUGGAUACCCUCCCUGAUGACGCCCUGUUUAUGCAGAGCCCCUUCCCAGCCCCACGUGGCCUGCACAGGGCCUGGCAAACUGAAGGCACUCGGUGAUUUUUCCCAGGAGCAUGGUGAGCCCAUGGAAAGGUCCAAGUCCUAAUGCUGCACAGAAUUCUGAAAGUUCAUUUAUUCAACGCCUGCUUAUGGAGUUCCUAGUAUGCACCAGGCCUCAUGUUAGGUGCUGGGAACACAAUGGUCACCAAAACAAGCCUGAUUCUCUCAGGGCAUCCCGCUAAUGCUCCCUAGGCCUUAUUGCCUUAUUGUGCCCCAAGAAAGUUCUGACUGUAUCUCUGACUCUGUGGGUUAUUUCUAGAAUUUCAGGGGGCCAAGCAGAAGUGCUGGGGGAAAAAGGUUACAGUCUUGGAAAUCCUAUGGGGUAGUUUUACUCUGCCCUAUAGAGUUGCUAUGAGUUGGAAUGAACUCGACAGUAGAGUUUUUUUUGCAGAGGGCGGGGGAUUUAUUGUUAUAUCCAAGUGGAAAUGUUGAGUCAACAGUUCAGGGCAGGCACUAGAAGCAGGACCCCUUUUUCCUUUGCCAUCUUUGAUGCAGAGCUGAAACCACCAGGCCAGCCCAGCUGUGUGGCUUAGAGGCCUCCGUGUUGAUCUAACCUCCUGCACCAAAGCCUACUUCCCACGUACCAAGAAAAAGGGGGGGAAACAGAUCAGUCUUUAAUACCAGCAAAGGAUUAAUCUGGAAUUCUGCAACACAAAAAGUCUCAAGUGUUUUUUCUCCUUUACCCAAAACUUUUAAAUUCUGCUUCUGCAACCUGAGCGUUACUAAUCUGUCUUAUUGCAUCUGCGUAUAUUGUUCUCGGUUUGCCAACCACCUGGCGAUGAGCAAUCACCCAGAAUUCUCCCAGGAGGGAAUUUUCCUAUGAGACAGGUUAUGCCAGAAGUUAUUUUUGUUUUUGCCAAGCAGGACAUUGACUUGAUUCAAUUCAGUUUAAUUCAGAUAGUUCUUGAGGGACUUCUCUGUGCCAAUGACUGGGCCAGAAAGUGGGGGGGCCCAAAAUGAUAUUUCAGUCAUUAGUUCGUUCAGUAAACAUUUCCUCCUUGCUCCUCAUGCUCCAUCCCCACUUGCCUUGUACUCUACUCCUCUGCUGGGCUAAACUAAGGUCCUUCCAGCUUCCUGGAUUGCCCUUCACCUGGAUCUUUGCAAGGUUGGCUUCUUCUCAAAGGCCCUCCUGCAGCGAGUCUGCCCUGUCUGCCCCAUCUAGGUAGCCCCACUCUGCUACCCCCCAGGCACCCUGAUUACAUCAUCCUCCUUUAUCCCAGCACACGUCAGUGCUGGGCAGAAGAACAACAGAGUCAAGCAGGAGCUUGGGCUCAUAUUUGGAUCCUGAUGAAAGCUUGUAACAGCCUCAGCUCUUCAGCAUCCACUAGGCUUUGGGUCAGCAUGGGCUAUGGGGCCAGAGAUUCAUGGGGACAAAUCUGUCUCCAUCUCAUCUUAGGCUACAGGCAAAGUGCUCAGUCUCCAAGGCUUCACCCCCUUAUCUGCAAGUAGGAGAUCAUGGCAGCUUCUGCUUUGUUCUGAGAAUGAGUAAUUUAAAAUAAAGUUUGUGCGCAGCACACAGUACGUAUUUGUGAUACACUCACAGGUUAUCCCAAAUUUCUAAAUAAACAGGGGCCACUAAAAAAAGGAAACCAAUCGCUAAUCCUGAUUUCUCCAUGACUAUCACAUCAUUCUGAUCAGAGCCUGAACACACCAGACGCUCCCAGAGUGUCAGCACAUGGAGAGAAGCUUUUAUUAUUUACAAGCAGCAGACAGCACCUCAGAACACAUGUGGAUCCGUUUUUGAACCAGUCCUCCCUUGCCUUGAAAAGACUGUCCAGGCUGAGACGGAAAACUCUUCUACACGAACCCCACUUUGUACUGUAGGCCAGCCAUGGGCAGUUACGAGGCUUGCCUGGCAGGCCUCACAGAGGGAGAAAUGACCUGCUUCUCCACUUCCGGCUUCAGUCUCUGGAGGAAGAUACAGUCAAGGAAUCAGCCCCUGCCCCAGUGAGUUGGCCAUGCUCACGGGCACAUCUGCAUUCCUCAACCAGCUCUUCCCUCUCCCCUUCCUCAGCCCCUGGGAACCAUAAAAAGGCAGGAUCCUUCUCUUCGGGGUGACUUGGCAGUGAGAAGUUCCCGGCUGCAUUGCCUGUCAUCUGACGUCACCCAGUGCCUUUCUGAGGGGAAAUGGAACACUGGGGAGCCAGCACCUUUAUCUUUUACCUCCUGCCUGCCCUGUCACAUGGUCCAUUGGGUGCCUUUCGUGUGCCAGGCACAGCUCCAGGUGCCAGAGACACAGUGGUAUAAAGACGAAGCUCCUAGCUCCUAGCGCUGACAUUCUAGUAGGGGAUGCAGAUAACCAUGAAACUCUAGGUGGUGCAAAAGGUCACACAGACAGCUACUAAUGGAAAAAUUGGUUUGAUCACAGAGGUGCCUUGGAAGAAAGGCCUGGUGAUCUGCUUCUGAAAGGUCAUAGCCAUUGAAAAUCCUGUGGAGCACAGUUCUACCCUGAUACAUAUGGGUCGCCAUUAUUCAGAAUCAACUCAGUGGCAACUGGAUUGGUUUUGGUUUGGUUUCUUAAGAGAAAAAAUUUGAAGAAAAGGAGAUAAAAGCAAACUAUUUACAGAAAAACACCAGCUAGGCAAUGGAGAAGGAAUGACAAAUUUGGAAACUCAUCACCUUCGAAAGCCCCAAUGUGACAUUCAAUUCAGUCAAGGGUCAUCAAUGAAGGCUAAAGUCAACGAGCGAAAAGUUGCUAAGGAACAGAAUGCUCACAAGGUGUCACCCCACAGGUGACACUUACAAAUGGAACAGUGUCCCUCUACAUGGAGAACCUGGCUGUCACCACCUUAACAAGUGACCAAAGUCAGCAGCACUGCUGGUGAGCCAACCUGACAUUGUGUACUUCUUUUUAUUUUAUUUUUGCAUUGUGUACUUCUUGGUGUGAUUCAGUAGGAGGUAGUCAGCAUCACCUGGGAAGUAUUCUCAUCAACAACUCUGAUCCCAAGCCCAGGUAAGCAUGUUGACCUAACAAUUUAUUUCCAGGAAAUAACCGAAGAGAGAGGAACAUGUCAGACAACACCUAGGAGGAAACGUCAGACAGAUCUAGCUGCAGGACAUUCUACAAGACAGUGGCCAAGUUUCUUUAGAAAGUCAAUGUCAAACAAGCAAAAGAAAGGAAGCGGAGAGAAAAGAAAAAAGAUAGAGGAUUAUUCUAGACUAAAAACAAAAUCCCCUAAACAGACACAGCAACCAAAUGCAAUGUGUGACCCUUGGUUGGGUUCUGAUUUAAAAAAGACACAUUCAUAAAAGACGUCUUCAGACAAUUUGGAAAAUAGAAUAGAUAUUAGGUGAUAAUAUUGAAUUAUUGAUUUUCUUAGUUGUGAUAAAGGUAAUCUAUAUAAAGAAAUUUCUCAGGAGAUGUCUACUGAAACAUUUAGAAGUGAAGUGUCAUAAAAUCUGCAAAUUGUUAAAACAAAGAAAGAUGUAGAUCUGGAGGUAGAUGUAGAGCUACAGGUUAGAUGUAGAGACAGAUGUAGAUGUAGAAAUUGAUGUAGAUCUAGAGGUUGAUAUAGAUCUAGACAUAUGUGUAGGUAUAUAGAUGUAGAUGUAGAGAUUGACGUAGAUCUAGAGGUUGAUGUAGAUAUAGAGAUAUGUGUAGAUAUAGAGAUUGAUAUAGAUAUCAGUGUUAACAGUUGUUGAAUCUAGGCGGAGGGUCUGUGUAUGUUGUGGUGCAAUGGAUUGCUUUUGUGUGGCCUUUCUCGCCAGGGUCUUGUAACUUCCACACAUCUGAUUGGGUGGGACUGUGCAAAUAAGGUAAUAGUGGCCCACCAAGGGAACUGGGCAGUUUCGUCAACCCGCUGAGCUUGAAAUGAGUCAUCCCAAGGGCAGGAAAGGAAGAAUCCCACCACCACAAAGGAAGGAGAGCUAAGUGCAGAACGUGUCCUUUGGACCUGGGAUCCCUGUGCUAAGAAGCUCUUGGAGCCAGGAGACUGAGAGAGAGAGCUGUUACACUGCGGAUGACAGGAGUCAGUGGCAGAGAAACAGCGGCAGGAGAGACUGACAGGAGACAGCGCAGUGGGCUUCCUGGCCUACGGACAAAGAAAGCUGAAAGUCUUUGGGCCAAGGCUUAUUGGUGGAGUAGAGUGCCUCUGGACACUUAAGGGCAGAGCUAAAAGAGCUUCGUAACACUUGCCUGAGCAGGGCAGAAGCCAAGGGGUCAGAGAGAGACGUACCUGUGGCACAGUUAGGAAAAGGCUGUUCUGAUGGAAGAACUAUAUCCUCAGCAUUCCUGAAUGUGAAUUAUUACCUUUUACUUCCCUAAAUAAACUUCAUCCAUAAUCAUGAGUAUUGUCUGUGAGGUCUGUG